rnacentral:rRNA from 1 species
GUGUCAGCCGCCGCGGUAAUACGGAGGAUCCGAGCGUUAUCCGGAUUUAUUGGGUUUAAAGGGUGCGUAGGUGGAUUGAUAAGUCAGUGGUGAAAGUUUGCAGCUUAACUGUAAAAUUGCCGUUGAAACUGUCGGUCUUGAGUGCAAAUGAGGUAGGCGGAAUGUGUUGUGUAGCGGUGAAAUGCUUAGAUAUAACACAGAACUCCGAUUGCGAAGGCAGCUUACUGGGAUGCAACUGACACUGAUGCACGAAAGCGUGGGUAUCAAACAGGAUUAGAAACCCUUGUAGUCC